UGCAAACCUGUAAUAAAAGGGGGUGCGAGUAUAGUAAAAAAAACACAGGCCCAAGACCAGACAGGCCCAAAACGCCCAAAAAACAAACAAAAGUCAGGAAUCACAUCUGACCGUGUGAUUGAUCAGACAGUCCUGAUCUGGUCCGGGAAGAAAAGAAUAUAAGCCGUGUGAUGAAGAUCAGCGGCAGUAACAAAAGGGCUUAUGGCGUGCUGCGAUAGACACGCGCACACAGGAUCAGGCUGGGGUAUAAAUACCCAAAUCC
rnacentral:lncRNA from 1 species